rnacentral:hammerhead_ribozyme from 1 species
AUUCAUCCGAUGAAUCCCAAAUAGGAUGAAACACGAGUCCUGGAU